CGGGGUGGAGUAACGCGUGGGUAACCUGCCUCAUACAGGGGGAUAACAGUUGGAAACGACUGCUAAUACCGCAUAAGCGCACAGGAUCACAUGAUCUGGUGUGAAAAACUCCGGUGGUAUGAGAUGGACCCGCGUCUGAUUAGCCAGUUGGCAGGGUAACGGCCUACCAAAGCGACGAUCAGUAGCCGACCUGAGAGGGUGACCGGCCACAUUGGGACUGAGACACGGCCCAA
rnacentral:rRNA from 1 species